AGCGCAGGCGGUUUCUUAAGUCUGAUGUGAAAGCCUUCGGCUCAACCGAAGAAGUGCAUCGGAAACUGGGAAACUUGAGUGCAGAAGAGGACGGUGGAACUCCAUGUGUAGCGGUGAAAUGCGUAGAUAUAUGGAAGAACACCAGUGGCGAAGGCGGCUGUCUGGUCUGUAACUGACGCUGAGGCUCGAAAGCAUGGGUAGCAAACA
rnacentral:rRNA from 1 species